rnacentral:rRNA from 1 species
UACGGAAGGUCCGGGCGUUAUCCGGAUUUAUUGGGUUUAAAGGGAGCGUAGGCCGCGCCUUAAGCGUGUUGUGAAAUCCGGGUGCUCAACAUCCGGCUUGCAGCGCGAACUGGGGCGCUUGAGUGCGCAGAAAGUAGGCGGAAUUCGUGGUGUAGCGGUGAAAUGCUUAGAUAUCACGAGGAACUCCGAUUGCGAAGGCAGCCUACUGUAGCGCUACUGACGCUGAUGCUCGAAAGCGUGGGUAUCGAACAGGAUUAGAAACCCUGGUAGU